UUUGAACCUAAUACAAGUUUUUGUGUAUUAUUUGGGCCUAACUCAGGCAGGCGGCUAGCGUAAAGCUCACACAUGGCGGUGGGGCUCAGUCGGCUUUUUGCAGAAAGAUUUAUGGUAACAGCUUUAGGUGAAAGGAUUGUGCUACAGAUUUCCAUUCAGUCCUGAGCAUCCCCCAGUCUUAUUCUUUGUUAAUAAGGGGUCUCUGUGUUAGUCAUCAUCUUCUGAAAGAAAGCAUCUCUGAAGAGGCUUAAGAGACACACUCGUCUAUGGGGAAAAUGAGAAGUUCUAAAUGACAAGACAAAAGAAAAGCUUGUGUUUGGUGGCUCAAGUCUGUAAUCAAGCACUCAAGAACUUAAACAGGAGGAUUGCCACAAUGUCAAGUGCAUGGGAAGAGCUGUGAGACAAGUUCAUUUAAUCACUUGGAAUACAUCAUGUUAACUCAAGGAAGAAGCGCUGUGCCUGAAAAGCCAGGAUAAACUUCCUAAUUCCUGGCUUCCUUCAUGAUCUUCUGUCAAGUUGAUCUGCCUCACCACAGCCCAGAAAACAAAGCAUCAACCAACCAUGGAAUAAAACCUGGAAACUGUGAGCCAAAAUAUAUUCACUCUGCUGUAAAUGGGCAUUUCAGUUUCUCUGUAUAGCCCAGAGAAUCCUGGAUGUCAUCCUGUAGAUGAGGCUGGUCUUGAAUUCAGAAGUCCACCUGCGUCUGGUUCCUGAGUGAUGGGAUUAAAGGCAUAAACACCUGGUAUAACUCUACAGCUGCUCAAAAGUACAUUCUAAUAUAAAGCUGUUGGACACUGGAACACCUUUCUCUUUUCAGCUACCUUUCUGAUACAGCCCAAGACCUCUGCCCAAGAAUGGCACCACCCACAGUGCACUGGGCCUUCCCACAUUAAUCAAGAAAAUGCCCUAUAGACAUGCCCACAGGCCAAUCUACUAGUGGCAAUUUCUCAGCUGAGAUUCUCUCUUCUUGGGUAACUCUAGUGUGUAUCAAGUUAACCAAAACUAACCAACUCUGUCCUAUUUACUAAAAAUCAAUUAAACUACGAAUAAUAUGAUUCCUUAAAAAUAAACAUGACAGUGAGAUGAAUAUUUGACAGAAAAGCAUUAGGGUGACCUGUGCAAGAGCAGAAGGAAUUACUAGUAAAGUUUGAGAUUAUCCACAAUGCAAUUUCUAUUUUCUAUUAUCAGCAUCAUCAAAAUCUUGGACAAUAGCUACCUAUGAGAUUAUAAUAAAAUACUUUAAUGAGUAUGCAAAAAUGAAAUGGAAGUAUGAAUUUAUGUAUGCCCAAAACACCAAAGAAAGAGUUGCUAAUAUUCAGAAGUAGUGAGGGGACCAUAUAUAAAAAUGUUCCGAGUGCUGAUUUUCCACCUCUAUCCCAGGCUUACAAAAGUAGAAACUUACUAAGCCAGAACUGCAAACAAGCCUCUGCAGCUAAUUUUCAUCAAUCACUGGGGAAAAGGUGAAGCAUAAAUAAUCCAUAAUUUCACAUCUCAUCAGAUUCAUGCAGCACUUUGGAUACAUGAAAUCAGCUAACUUUUGUGAAUACCUAUUCCUUGUUGCACACUGUGUUUUUCUGAAGAGACUGUUAUUGAGAGACCCUGGACACAUGGUGUCAGCAUAGAUGUUGCUUUCCACUACUGAAUCAGCAGCAAUCUAUCAAAAUAAUCUUCGAAUUCUUUUAAAUCCCAGACUCCUAGCUCUUCUGCAUUACACAUUUGAAAUUCCCAAGAUCAUCCAAAGUUAAAGUAGCUUUGGGAAUCACUGGCUUAAUUUACUUGGGCUGUUCUUUGUAUGUCAAAGGGUACAUAUUUACAGUUAUGAAGAUGAGUACUUCUAAACAUUCAAUGUAGGAUAUGUGGAGAUCUAUAAUUCACAAUAGUUGCAAUGCAUAUUGAAAAUUUGCUAACAGAUUAGAUUUUAUGUGUUAUUACCACACACACAAAGAGGUUACUCUUCCAGGUGGUGCUAUGCUAAUCUGCUCUGAUGUGGCAGUCAUUUCAGUGUGUGUGUACUAAAAUAUCUGUAUGAUUGAUACUACUCUCAAUUAUGUUUGUAUGUGUCCCAACAUAAUGUAACUUCUUUUAAAAAUGUCAUUUUGAAUGUGUUUUGGCCAGAGUAGAAGGCAUAAUUUAUUCAAAUUGCUGCACUGUUUUUGACCUUUAAAUAUUUGAAUAUUUAAUAUAUAAUCCAUAUGUAACCUUGCCUUGUAUCCACAAAUGUCAGAGUUGAAAUGCUUUCAAUGAAUGUCCAAUACAAAGCUGACUAUACUCCCAGUAUAGGCAACUGGGACUUGA